rnacentral:lncRNA from 1 species
AUGCUGGAGCCAUACAUUUACAUGCUGUUCAAUCAGGACCACGCACAUGUGCAAGUAGUACCUGACUUCUGCAGUCUCCCAUUUACUGUACCACACACCUCCACACCAGGUCAGAGGAAGACCCCUUUGAAAAUGAGGCACUUGAUGAUUGCAGAGGAACAGCAAAGACAUGGAAAAGACAUUGAGGUCCUGUUGCUCCCAUUGGAAACUUCUGUUGGCUGCAGCAUGAGUUGGAUUGGACCCAGAGAAACUGAAUACACACAAGUAAUGAUGAGUUGGCCAUACAAGCAAGGAAAAUCACAGAUAACAGUCUUGUCUUCAUGAAGAAAAACACUUCAGAGAUUCUCUGACCAGGUCCUUUGUCCCACUCUGGUGGACACCAUGUCACCCUCAAGCCUCACAGAAAUGGGACCUUGUGUUGGGGUCAGCAUAAAGAUCCACAUACUCAGUGCUUCCUGCCAGAGUCACCAAUUGUCGUCUGCUGCAACAUCUCAUGCUGUGUCAGUCUCGUUCACCAGCUUCCUUCUGUCUCAGCGCAGCUGCAAACCAACCAGUCGUUU